CUGCUUCAGCAGCACAUAUACUGAAAUUGGAAUGAUACAGAGAUAAUUAGCAUGGCCCUGUGCAAGGAUAACACACAAAUUUGUGAGGCAUUUCAUAUUUAA